CACGAAUCAGCUGUGAGUAGGUAUAUAAACCGUAGCACAAAUUUAACUGACGCGUUCCACAGCCAUUUUGGAUUGUCCCAUCGUAUCCAGGGGACAGACGUAUCAAACAUGUCCGCUCGAGCACUACUAUUGUCCAUUGCGUGCUGUCUCUUUCUAUUUACGCUGAUCGAGACUGACGCCCGGAAACUGAGUCGCUCCUUCUGCGUUAAAGCCCUUAGAUUCGCCAUCAAAGACAUGACAAACACGGACAAAAGAAAGGUCGCCGAUGAGUGCUUCCUCUACUACUCGCCAACCAUAAACAAACGACGUUAUUAUUAUCCAUAUCCCUAUUGGCCUUGGUAUCCUUACUAUGCAUAUUAUUACUAUUGGGGUUAAUGUGUAACACGGGGUAAAUAAACCUAUUUCAAUAAAGACACGUUUUUUUAACUUUCA